AACGCACAUUGCGCCCUCUGGUAUUCCGGAGGGCAUGCCUGUUCGAGCGUCAUUACAACCCUCAAGCUCUGCUUGGUAUUGGGCGUCACCAGUUCUGGUGUGCUCUAAAAUCAGUGGCGGUGCCAUCUGGCUCUAAGCGUAGUACAUCUCUCGCUAUGGAAGUCUUGUGGAUGCUUGCCAACAACCCCAAAUUUUUUUAAGGUUGACCUCGGAUCAGGUAGGGAUACCCGCUGAACUUAA
rnacentral:misc_RNA from 1 species